CCUACGGGCGACUGCAGUGAGGAAUAUUGGUCAAUGGGCGAGAGCCUGAACCAGCCAAGUCGCGUGAGGGAGUACUGCCCUAUGGGUUGUAAACCUCUUUUGUCGGGGAGCAAAAGCCGGACGUGUCCGGCUGUGAGAGUACCCGGAGACAAAGCAUCCGGUAACUUCGGGCCAGCAGCCGCGGUAAUACGGAGGAUGCGAGCGGUAUCCGGAUUUAUUGGGUGUAAAGGGGGCGCAGGCGGAGUUUUAAGUCAGCGGUCAAAUCGUGGGGCUCAACCCCAUCCAGCCGUUGAAACUGGGGAUCUAGAGUGUGCGGGAGGUAUGCGGAAUGCGUGGUGUAGCGGUGAAAUGCAUAGAUAUCACGCAGAACCCCGAUUGCGAAGGCAGCAUACCGGUGCACAACUGACGCUCAGGCACGAAAGCGUGGGUAUCGAACAGGAUUAGAUACCCCAGUAGUC
rnacentral:rRNA from 1 species